ACUUCUACUGAGUCAUACUUUCAUUUUUAAUAUAUUAUCAUACAGAGUUUUGUGUCUAAGCUGACGCAUAUACCACAUAAUUUUACUAUCGGAAAGUUAUUGUUGUGAACAUUGAAUACGUAUAUGGUGUUGUUUGUCUGCAUUAUCAAGGAUCGGGAGAGUAGAGAGUUGUAAGCAAUAGAAUGAGGAACGUGUCAAAACAGUAAUGGAGAAAGAUGGUUGCAUAAAAGUUGGUUGAAGUUUGCAUGCUUUCCAAACAACACCAAGCUGGAAAAAAUAAUGCAAAAGUUGAAGAUGAAAAUCAUUCUCUCGUCGAUCAUUGGCUAUUCUUUCAGGAAAUAUUGGCUUUGUUUCAUCAUUAGCCUUAUGUGAUGAAUUCAUAUUGACUGCUUCAUAGUUGUGCAUAUCUUUGAUACCAAGAUGAUACCAAUACGAGUUUCAAAAGCAUUUUCUGGCAGUGGAUCGUAUUCAGAUUUUGCCUCUAAAACUUAUAGAUAUUGACAAUCAGGAGCAUGUGAAGACUUAAAAACAAGGGGGAUCCAGAAUAUUAUGAUGUACAUUUGUGGAAUGAAGAAUUGUUACAAAGUGUUCGUUGCUGCUAUGGAAAUGUGAUUUAUUCGAGAGACAAAUCUCAGAUGUUGAUGCUCUUCUGGAACAUCACUACUUUCGAUCAACUGAAGAGGGAGAUGGUUCGUUGGUUAGAUGGAAAAUACCAGAAGGAAAAAAAAUUAGAAGUAUUGAGAGACUCGACAGUAUCUUUGGUUGGAUGCGAAUGAAAACUGAUAAGGAUGCUAGGGAAAUGAUGUUUGGACGAGAUGACAUCAUUUUGAUUGUUGUAAUCAGUUAGAAAUAUUAUGUUUUUAGUUUGCUUAUGUUGUAGUGAUGUUUGUUG